UACUAUCAUCAUAACAAUUACCCAAAAUAAAAUACAUAAAAGGAACGAUUGAGAUUCGCUUAAUUUUAAAGCCAUUUUUUUUUCUUAGGUGGAUUGGAUAAAAGGGAUGAUGCAUCUUCGAAAAGGAAAAAAGGGGAGCAAUCGACAAUGAGCAGCAGCAGCAGCUCUGAGGAUGCAGAUUAAUCUGAUAAUAGCAACCACGAGUAAAAAAUAAAAGUGGAUAGUAAUAUUCAGCAUUUUUGUUUCCUUGCUUCUGAUCAUAAUGGAUUACAGUAUUUGAAGCAGAAAUAUUCAAUACCGGUAUUAAACAAUUUUAUUUAUUUAUUUUAUUAUUAU